CGAAGACAUUUGCCACUUAAUACCGGUGUCCACUCAGACUCGCAUGCACUGAAUAGGUCUCAUGAAAGCCAGCCACAGUCCCCCAGCGGGCAGGAGAGAGAAAGCUUCGGACUGAGAUCUGAAGGCCUGGCGUGGGGAAGGCCUCUGUCGUCGAGUGCGAGUAAUACGUGAAAAGGACAACAAGACCUUCCAUUCUGUUCGGAAAGGGAUCAUCUCCAAGGGGACCCACAAACACCGCAUAGGUGUGAUAUCCUGAAUCUCAGCUGGUGGUUCCUAUCGUUGAGGUUGCUCAACACUGGGCUGCUGGUCCUAGUAGAGUGUGCAUCAUUGUGGGAACAUGGAGAAAGGCUCAAUCUUUACAGCCUGACUACGGCGAUUUUCUCAGAGUCUAUGGCUGAGGUGGGGAUCUGUUCCUAUGAAAGGACUUGUUCCUGCAGACACACUCUGAAGAUGUCCUGAGCACAGGGCAUCACCCUGUCUUGGAUCUCCGAGAUAACCCAGGGACCGCAAUACACAUGAGAGGUCAAAAGCCCUGUCUUU
ensembl:lncRNA